GCCUGAGUGGCUCAGUCGGUUAAGCGUCCGACUUUGGCUCAGGUCAUGAUCUCAAGGUUUGUGAGUUUGAGCCCUGCCUCAGGCU
rnacentral:tRNA from 1 species